rnacentral:rRNA from 1 species
UACGGAGGGUCCAAGCGUUAUCCGGAAUCAUUGGGUUUAAAGGGUCCGUAGGCGGUUUUGUAAGUCAGUGGUGAAAGCCCAUCGCUCAACGGUGGAACGGCCAUUGAUACUGCAAGACUUGAAUUAUUGGGAAGUAACUAGAAUAUGUAGUGUAGCGGUGAAAUGCUUAGAGAUUACAUGGAAUACCAAUUGCGAAGGCAGGUUACUACCAAUAUAUUGACGCUGAUUGGAACGAAAGCGAUGGGGAGCG